UCUGACGUCUACAACUCAUGAGAAACAGUCAGUGGGAUUUACUCCAUCUAUUCAGGAGGUGACUUUCCUGUCUGGGUUUACUGUCACAUGAUCUCAGAUGGGAAAGAUGAAGACAAUGGAGGAUGGACGGUGAUUCAGAGGAGAAUGGACGGCAGUGUGAAUUUCUAUCAGCCGUGGAAUCAGUACAAGAGAGGAUUUGGGAAUGUGGAGAGCGAAUACUGGCUGGUGCUGGAGAACAUGUACCAGCUGACACGUAAC